rnacentral:piRNA from 1 species
UUUCAAAGUAUGGCAAAAUUGUGGGU